rnacentral:rRNA from 1 species
UACGGGGGGAGCAAGCGUUGUUCGGAUUUACUGGGCGUAAAGGGCGCGUAGGCGGCCACCGCAAGUCAAUUGUGAAAUCUCCGGGCUUAACUCGGAAAGGUCAACUGAUACUGCGGGGCUAGAGUGCGGAAGGGGCAACUGGAAUUCUCGGUGUAGCGGUGAAAUGCGUAGAUAUCGAGAGGAACACCUGCGGCGAAGGCAGCUCGCUGGGACGUUACUGACGCUGAGACGCGAAAGCGUGGGGAGCAAACAGG